UAACGUCACCGCCCCUGGGGUCCCAUCCAAAUCAGGAGGGCAGCUCUCCUCUCGCAGGGCACCUUCCGGUUCCCGCUUGGUGCCAUUUGCACCUGUCAUCACGCAUCUGGAUCCGUGUGAGACUGGUUUCCGCUGCUAGACUGCAAGAUGGGGGUGUAUUCUGCUUGGGAGAGGCCGGAGGCACGGUUUCCACCCCUGCCUUCUCUUCUGGGACAGCAUGCUUUAUCUCUAUGCCAGGUAAGAACGAGGCAGACGGGGGGGGGGGGGGGGGCGCGGGGGCGGGCACCCCCAUAGCGCUAUUCCACUUCCCCCCAAUGCCGUGCCUUCCGUUUGUCACUUGAUCUGCACGCACACACGGGCCACUCUUGCGGAUUCUGUAUGUGCUGCCGGGCAGUCUGUCUCCAAACCCAUUCUUGCGUUGUACCAGCACAAUCCCAGCCCUUAGGAGGGAGCGAGCGCUCAAUCGGUGUUCGUUACCUUGAGUAAAUUUCACGCACUGGGGGUGGGGGGGGGGGGAUUUUCCGGCUUCCAGGAGUCUUUGUUUCCCAGGCGAUAAAAGCGAGGGCACAGAACCGUAUACAAGCGAUAAGCACACAUGCUUGUGCACACGGGCCAUCAAAGAAAAAAAGGCUACACGUGGUCACCAUAGUAUUAAAGAGGUUCCCUCUGAAUAGCUGGAAUUAUAAUUGAUUCUUACUUUCCCUUUUACAUUCUUUCAAAACACCUAUAGGAGACCGUAUGACUAAGCAGGAAAAAAAAAAAAACCCCAUUUUAUUUCCUCUAUAAAAGUUCUGGAAACUGGCUAAUUCUUAAGUAAUCAUCAGGCAACAUUUUCAGAGGAAUUAAUGAAGAGCCAGCUCAGGACAAGGCCUCGGAGAAGUAGAAUGUGACACCAGUAUCUGAGGUUGGGAGGGAGGGGCAGUGGGGACAGGGAAGAAAUGUCACAGCGCUCUUUCUGAUGUCUUCCUGGGUCUCUCACGCACAGCCCUCUGCGGUGUCCUGGGUCUGCCUCUGAGAGUGCUGGGCAGCUGGAAUGACUCCCCUCUUGGGCUCGAAGGCGACCAUUUAGCUUUAUUACCAGUCAGGCUCCAACUAGGAAAGGGGACACAUCUCCAAGUGUUGAAAACAGAGGGAAAUAAAUAAUAAGAAACUGGUUUCCCUGGUGAGGGGGUCAAUGGCAAACUGUGGAGUCACUGAGAGGUUAGCACUAGCAAAAAAGUCGUCACCACCUCCAGGCUGCAGGGACAAAGGGAGUGGUGGAGGGGCGUGGAAGGCGAGGGAGGAGAGUCCUGGCUUCUCCCGUCCCUUCUCCAGUCCUCUGCCAAGGCCUCCCAAGCCAAACCCUACUGGAAGCAGGCGAACCUGAUGUUGGCGGGUUUCAGCCCCAGGGAUACUGAGGGGAGCAAGGGAGGGGGGAGGAAAGGGCCUGAGGGCAGAGAGGCCACAGAGUGGCACCCUAUCUGUCCUUGGGCCCAAGGAACCCCACCCACCCCCACCUCCCCACCUGUUAGCAGCAUGUACCUGAAUCAGGCCAGGUAAGUAUUUCCUGGUCUACGUAACCUACCAAGUUGCAAAGACGGAAACACCGAGUCAGCGUAAAAGGACCUUCUAGAUGUUUUGUAAAUGAGGGCACGGUGGUGGUAGGAUUCCCAUCACUCGUUACCCUGGCUUCUACCGAGAAUGGCUCCAGGGCCAGAGGGUCAGAGGAUGGGCUUUAGAAGGAUGAAGCUGGCUUGAAAACUAGCCCACAUCUGGACAAAGUGAGGGCUUUUCUCUCCCUUUCCCAAAGUCCCAAACUGAAUGUCCCCCCACUUAGCAGCAGCUGGAAGAGUUGGGAGAGCAGCCCCCCCCCCCGCUCAGGAGGGGGUACGUGGGGGCAGGAAACCAAGGCAGAGAGAACAUUCCCCUGAGGGCAAACAGAUCCAAGGGACAAGAGAGGAAGCCUGGGGCCUGGUCUUGUUUUGAGGUCACAGUGACCUUACCCGUACUGUCGAUGAUCAGAUUCUUUUUCACUCCCUCUAAGGGCGAAGCAUCCUUUGUAAUACCUCCCUGAGAGGUAAAAAUGUAGACAGAAGAUCCUAUCUUGGGUGCCGAGGCAAGAAGUAAAGGAAAGAAGGAGAAAGAUGCCUCCUCUCACCCCUGCUGCAAACCGUGCGGAAAACAGGGUGUUUGGAGGCCUCGGCCCUGAAGUUUUUGGGUGAAAAGGAGGCCAGUGUCACUGGCAGGACUAUAUUCAGCAGGAGAACAAGUGAGAGCUAAUUUCUAAUUAACUUCUUGUUUAUAUUUAUUUUCAUUUCCUCAUAUGAUGUUACUUUUGACAGAUAAAUAUAAUAAAAGUGAUCAUACAUAUGGACCGUUUUAUAUUCUGCUUUUUAAAAUUAACGUAUAUUUUUAAUCUCUAAGUAUUCUCUUAAAACAUUGUAUGAAUAGGUUUAUAGUAGUCCAUUUAAUGGUUGUCCAAAAAUGCAGAUGUAGAUUGCAAGACUUACUCUACACAGAAUAAAAAUACGGUCACA